CUGAGAUUGCACUUCUGCACUACAGCCUGGGAGCACUGCUCAGCACGCAGGCAUGUGAGGAAGCUGGGCUUAAAGGAGACUCCAGCAAAUGGAGAGACAGACCACAGUCCUGGGUUGGAAAGCUGAAUAUCGUUGAAUGCCAGAUCUUCCCAAAUAAAUGAACUGGCUUAAUACAAUUCUGAUCAAGAUGCCAACAAGAAGAGAGUGUAUCCAGACAAAAUGAUCUUUGGAAAAUAUUCUUCACCUUGUGGAAUAAACAGGAAAGCAUGGCUAACAA
rnacentral:lncRNA from 1 species